AAAAAAUGUGUGUUGUAUGUUGACUGGAAUGGCAAUAAAUCACUUAGUAAGAUUUGGAACCUAGUGGAGAAGUGUCUGUUCUCUGUGAUAUUGAAGAAUCUAAAAGAGGCCAACAGUGGAGUUUGCACUGGACUACUAGUGUAGCAACGCUUCAAGGACAAACCACUGUUUGAAUACAAGGUCACAGUUCAUGGUGAGUCUAAUAAUAAUACAGUUUAGUCCUUUUUAUUCGCCCAAAUAAUGGUUUUGUCCCAGGGACCAAAGAUGAAAAGCAUCCAUUACAACAUACUCACAUGAAUAUAAAUAAGUACUUUAAAGAGGUGCACGUCCUCUGGCUCACAUCCACUUGUGGUGUCCAGAGUUUGUAGAUCUCACGAUACCGGCAUGCGCAGCCACCAGGUUCUAUUUAGCACCUGCAGGGACCAUUAUGGAGCAACAUGCAGUAGCUGAAGUAACUCAUCUUAAAGGGAUUAAUCAUUUAAAGAAUAUAGUGGUUCAGAUCUCAAGCAGUCAGACAGCUCAGAGAGGAAGUUCAAAAGGAGUCUGAUGACGAGCAGCUGUGUGCAAACGCCUCCGAGCUUCUUUAAAUAAGAGGCCAGCUGUUAGUUUAUUGUGGAGCAGAACGCAGGUUGUUGCAGCGUCUGGUCGAAGACUCCGUCAUGUCUCUCUUUGUGAUUCUCGCCCUGCUCGUCUGCAUUGAGGCUCAAGAGCCCAUUGUGACGCCUUUGUUUGUGCAGAAGGGACAUGAUCUGCUCCUGAAGUUUGAUGCUGAUCUUCCUGAGCAGGUUUCAUUUGUUGACUGGAAAUUCAAUAGAACAGUCACUUUAGUAAGAUUUGCUGCUAGUGGAGAAGCAUUUGUCUUAACAGGGUCUGUAGACGCUCCGCAGGGAAGGUUUGAGUUUCCUGAGAAAAGAUUCUUUUUGAUAUUGAUGAAUCUACAAGAGGCCGACAGUGGGGUUUAUUCUGCUGUAGCAGCAACGCUUCAAGGGGACAAAGCACUAGUUGAAUACCAGGUCACAGUCCAAGGACCAGUGUCUCCAGUUGAACUGACUGACGUGGACCGAGUGGACUCCAACAGCUCAGUCACCUUUUAAACCCUUGAUGAUGUUCCACUGACUCCCAGCUGGUGGCAGCAACACACCAGGAGAAGAAAAGAGGCAGACGACCACAAAGCAGCAAAACAUGGACGCAAACAAUUUAGAAUUUAAAGUAUUAACAAAUUCAGCUUUGCAGAUAUUUCCUGGUGAAGUUGAUUAUACACAAUAUAUCAUACACACAAGACCAUUUAAAUAUAUGUUUUAAUUUUUCUCAUUUUGGUGGAUGUCAUCUUGAAGAAAAUGACAAAUAAAUCUGCUUAUGUAUAAUCAAGACUAACUAUAUCUAAGUAAUUAACCUUAAGUACAAUCAUAAAAAAAUAUACUUUGCAUCCUUGUCUGCUUGCAUGUAUGGUAUUUACUUGUACACAAUUCUGUUCAGCAGGUUUUGUUUUGUGUGGAAACUUAGAACUUGUUAAAGCUUCAUACUUAUCUUGCGUUUCAGUGAUUAAAAGGUCACGUGUUCCUCUCUGGUGUACUGUCAGUUUUUACCAAAGAAUCAAUAUGUGCUGUUAUUAUAGUAAAGACACUUGAUAUAAAAUACAAAAUAUAUAAUGGAAAAUAUAUUUUUUAAAUUCUCUAUUACAGUUGAAAAAUAUUUUAUUCAUUUUUUUGUCUAAAAAAUAAAAUGAUAUAACAGAA
ensembl:lncRNA